GGUAACCUGCCUGUAAGACUGGGAUAACUCCGGGAAACCGGGGCUAAUACCGGAUGCUUGUUUGAACCGCAUGGUUCAAACAUAAAAGGUGGCUUCGGCUACCACUUACAGAUGGACCCGCGGCGCAUUAGCUAGUUGGUGAGGUAACGGCUCACCAAGGCGACGAUGCGUAGCCGACCUGAGAGGGUGAUCGGCCACACUGGGACUGAGACACGGCCCAGACUCCUACGGGAGGCAGCAGUAGGGAAUCUUCCGCAAUGGACGAAAGUCUGACGGAGCAACGCCGCGUGAGUGAUGAAGGUUUUCGGAUCGUAAAGCUCUGUUGUUAGGGAAGAACAAGUGCCGUUCAAAUAGGGCGGCACCUUGACGGUACCUAACCAGAAAGCCACGGCUAACUACGUGCCAGCAGCCGCGGUAAUACGUAGGUGGCAAGCGUUGUCCGGAAUUAUUGGGCGUAAAGGGCUCGCAGGCGGUUUCUUAAGUCUGAUGUGAAAGCCCCCGGCUCAACCGGGGAGGGUCAUUGGAAACUGGGGAACUUGAGUGCAGAAGAGGAGAGUGGAAUUCCACGUGUAGCGGUGAAAUGCGUAGAGAUGUGGAGGAACACCAGUGGCGAAGGCGACUCUCUGGUCUGUAACUGACGCUGAGGAGCGAAAGCGUGGGGAGCGAACAGGAUUAGAUACCCUGGUAGUCCACGCCGUAAACGAUGAGUGCUAAGUGUUAGGGGGUUUCCGCCCCUUAGUGCUGCAGCUAACGCAUUAAGCACUCCGCCUGGGGAGUACGGUCGCAAGACUGAAACUCAAAGGAAUUGACGGGGGCCCGCACAAGCGGUGGAGCAUGUGGUUUAAUUCGAAGCAACGCGAAGAACCUUACCAGGUCUUGACAUCCUCUGACAAUCCUAGAGAUAGGACGUCCCCUUCGGGGGCAGAGUGACAGGUGGUGCAUGGUUGUCGUCAGCUCGUGUCGUGAGAUGUUGGGUUAAGUCCCGCAACGAGCGCAACCCUUGAUCUUAGUUGCCAGCAUUCAGUUGGGCACUCUAAGGUGACUGCCGGUGACAAACCGGAGGAAGGUGGGGAUGACGUCAAAUCAUCAUGCCCCUUAUGACCUGGGCUACACACGUGCUACAAUGGGCAGAACAAAGGGCAGCGAAACCGCGAGGUUAAGCCAAUCCCACAAAUCUGUUCUCAGUUCGGAUCGCAGUCUGCAACUCGACUGCGUGAAGCUGGAAUCGCUAGUAAUCGCGGAUCAGCAUG
rnacentral:rRNA from 1 species